AAGGUCUGGAGUUAGAUGGUCUGUG
rnacentral:piRNA from 1 species